ensembl:rRNA 5S_rRNA 5S ribosomal RNA
AUCUAUGCCCAUACCUCCCUGAACAUGCCCUAUCUCAUCUGAUCCCGGAAGCCAAGCAGGUUUGGGCCUGAUUAGUACUUUGAUGGGAGAAUUCUACACAGUUAUAUCUU